rnacentral:rRNA from 1 species
UACGGAGGGUGCAAGCGUUGUUCGGAAUUACUGGGCGUAAAGCGCGUGUAGGCGGCCUGCUAAGUCCGAUGUGAAAUCCCGGGGCUCACCCCCGGAAGUGCAUCGGAUACUGGUGAGCUAGAGUACCGGAGAGGAGGACGGAAUUCCUGGUGUAGCGGUGAAAUGCGUAGAUAUCAGGAGGAACACCGGUGGCGAAGGCAGUCCUCUGGACGGAUACUGACGCUGAGACGCGAAAGCGUGGGGAGCAAACAGG